AGGGAGAAACCCGAAAAUCCAAAGAGUAGGAA
rnacentral:ncRNA from 1 species